GCCGGAAAGAUGUUAAGAGCUCAGCUGCUCUGUUGCAAGAUGGGGUAAUCCUGCUCUUCCACAAACCCAAACACGGGCUAUAUGAACACAAGUAGCUGCCGCCGGGGCUGUUGGCCGUUUCUCGGACAAUGCCGGAGAGCUUGUUCUGUGGUCAAAAGUUGUUGAGUUUCCUAGAUUAGUAUAAUAUUGGGCCGGCCAUUAAGCUCCAAAUGGACGGAAUCAUGGAGAGAAGCUACUUGCAUUAAAAAUUUGAAGUGGAGCAGGCGAAUGGACGUGGAAAGAGUUUUGUAGAACUGGGUCCUUGUCCAUUGCCCUUGUUUUGUACAAUUAGGAUCCAAUUUCCUAAACUGGUUCGGCUCCCACUCUUCCUCCUUUUCCGUCUCUCUUCGUCGUUCUCUCUUUGUCCUCUCCUUUGCUCUCUCUUCGGAGAUUACGCCAGAGAUCAAUUCGACCUCUAUUGCGGACCCAUCGGAUUGGACGGAGAGAGGUUUAUCAAUGGACCCAUGGUCUGAUGCUCCAAGAGAUAUCUUAGAAGUAAUUGCUGAAGAACUAAAAUUUUCCUCAUUUCGGUGCUGUUUGCAAGACAUGGCGCUCUGUUUAUAUGGAGAAUCGUCAUCAUCUUCCUCAGAAACUUCUGAUAUGCCGUUGUCAUCCUCGCCAACUUGCAGUUCCAUUGCUUUUGUGCCCAUAUAAGGAAGACGCAGAUUCAUGCAAGUUUGUUUGCCUAUCUGAUGAAAAGGUUUAUGGUGGAUUCUUUC